GUUUUUCCUAAGGCUUGCUGAAAGAGAGCUGUCCGCUAGGUCUAGUGGAUGGGGAUGUUUUCCUCCUGUUGAGGACUUGCUCUUUUUCCUUGUGGCAGAUGUGUGACUGCUGAAAACUUAAUGCGCUAUUUUUUCAUCGGUCUGGUUUCAAAUUGUUCGGGCUGAAGAAAAGAGAGCCCGAACAAUGCAAGGGCUGGAGGAAGGGUCGUGAUGAACAGUCCCAUCUGGGUACUUUUCAGCUCUAGGACAUGGAAUACCAGUGCUGCAAUAGCUGCUAGUGCCUGCUUCUGCAUGAGGCAGUUCUCGAGCCCCAGGUAACCCUGUCUGAGCGCCAGAACUGGCUGUGCUGUUCGCCUGGCGAUCCAGCCUUGCAUAGCACUUCAAAAACUGAUACAGUGCAGCUCUCCCAGAAACAACAUUGCUGUGAGGUUUGUUCCUGAAAAGAGCAGAAAUUGUACCUCUAGAGAAGAAAGCCAGAAGGCUUGGCAGGACUUCACUCUCUGAGACUCUGUUCUUGCUCUGACUCCCAGGUGGGGAAGUCACAGGCUUGUGCUGAAAUGUUUUUCACUAGCUUUCACCCCAGCCCAGAAAUGAAACCUGCUUAUUCCUCUGGUAAGGAACCAGCAACUCCCAAUGGUCCGGGCAUUUAAGGAGCAUGACAUCCAGAUCUGGAAGUAAACAUCACAGUCUUGGCUCUUCUCAAACUCAAAAACUGUUUACCUGAAUCCUGUUUACCUAAUACCUGUCACAGGAGAGAGCCCCUAUCCAGGAAGAUGUUAAAUGAUGCACUUAAGAUAACUGAGCACCUAACUGGUUGCUGAGAGGUGAUGAGGAUCCUUCUGAAACGUCACUCUGCUGUAGGGUACCAGGAUGCAAUGCUGUUUGCAAUGCACUUCAGAGAAACCAGCUAAUUAACACGUCCAUCACCAGCACAGCAGACCCAUCUCCUUGACAUCUCCAUGAAACCAGCUGGGAUCCAUUGGACAGCCUCUGGCUUGUUCCCAGCUGAGCUGGAGCAAACUCCUGAGAUUGCUUGUAACCAGAUCCAAAGCAAAGUCACACAGUCCAACUGAACAGCCCAGGGAAGGGUUCACCUACAGAGCUGCAUGGUCCAGACCUGGCCUUGGUACGUUACAUAUAACCAACUGGGUAGCUUGUUUUAAUUUGUCAACAUACAAACAGUGCUAUCUUCAACAUCUUUGCUCACAGAAUUAAAUUCUAUGCACAUGGCAGCUUGUGCUACAUGCUCCUGUGGUAAAUAAACACAAGUUGUCUCUGUAACUUCUGAAUUAAAUCAGCCUCUCAGCCUGUGCUGCAUUGCUGCAAAGCCCUCGUCUGUGUGACCGGGUGGCAUGGCACAUCUUUUGGAACGUGUUGGCUCUGUGAAAGCCAGAUUCCUUUUUUCAAUGGAAAAUUUUAAGCUGUUCCCACCAGUGACAUCACGAUGCUCUCCACUCCCACAGCCACAAAGGCGUAUAUUGAUAGGCAUGACAUUUUCCUUUAAUGCUUUCAUUGUUUCCAGCAUUUCAUUUGAGCUGUUGCUUGAAGCCAAAAAAACAAGACAAAAGGCAAAGUAUGUUAAAAGGAGACCUAGGCUGCGUGCAAAUAUGUCGUGCUAGAGAAUCUCUGACUCCAGGCAAUUUUCAGGGAAUUUGCUUUCCAUGGGGCUUCUCCUGAGUGAGUUAGGAGGAUGCCGUCAUCUGAGGCUCCUGAAACUGCCACCUCCCUUCUGUAACUUGCUUCAGGCUGAUGCUUCGGUAUUGCUGAGCUGUGCAUGGGAUCUGGCAUUGGCUUUUAGAGCUUAUUUUAAAAGAUUUGUGUCAACUGCAUAAAAGAGCACACUGAUGGGAGCUCCUGAAACCCUGCCACGCAUGCUUCCUUUGUGAACUUCUGAGGACUGGAACACUGGAUCCUUAAGGGACGUUUAUGUGUUCCGUGCAGUGCAGAGAGGAGAAGGGCAGCAAAAGGUGCUGCCCUUUGCACCUUGUUCCUUUCUAAAGUGAUAGCAGAGCUCAGAGCACUUCUUAC
rnacentral:lncRNA from 1 species